UACGUAGGGGGCGAGCGUUGUCCGGAAUCAUUGGGCGUAAAGCGCGUGUAGGCGGCUCAGUCAGUCUGGUGUGAAAUCUCGGGGCUCAACCCCGAGCGGUCAUUGGAUACUGCUGGGCUAGAAUCCGGAAGAGGCAGUGGAAUUCCUGGUGUAGCGGUGGAAUGCGCAGAUAUCAGGAGGAACACCAGUGGCGAAGGCGACUAUCUGGCCUGCUCUUGACGUGAGGCGCGAAAGCUAGGGGAGCAAACGGG
rnacentral:rRNA from 1 species